rnacentral:rRNA from 1 species
UCCGUAGGUGAACCUGCGGAAGGAUCAUUAAUGAAUUCACUAUGGAGUUGUUGCUGGCCUCUAGGGGCAUGUGCACACUUCACUAGUCUUUCAACCUUCCGUAGGGUGAACCUGCGGAAGGAUCAUUAAUGAAUACUCUUCAUUGAUCAUACACCGAUUCUGUGAACCCAUUACCCUGUUGCUUCCCGUGGUCGCCCGUGCCGCGGGGAGGUCCAUCUGUAACCCGUUUGUUUGAUGCCGUCCAUGUCUGAGUGGGUCAUCCACAUAACGAAACGUUAAAACUUUCAACAACGGAUCUCUUGGUUCUCGCAUCGAUGAAGAACGCAGCGAAAUGCGAUAAGUAGUGUGAAUUGCAGAAUUCAGUGAAUCAUCGAAUCUUUGAACGCACAUUGCGCCUCCUGGCAUUCCGGGAGGCAUGCCUGUUCGAGCGUCAUUAAGUCAUCUCUCAACCCACCUGGUGGGUUGGUCUUGGAGGAGGACGCCCCUCGGUGGGCGCGCCCCCUCCGAAAUCCAUUGUUGCGGACGGACCCCUUCGGGCCCAGGCGUAGUAGCAUAACCCCUCUCGCCGCGGCUCCCAGUGGGUUGACGCUCCUGCCCACGACCCCACUAUUCUAACGCGCUUGACCUCGAAUCAGGUAGGGAUACCCGCUGAACUUAAGCAUAUCAAUAAGCGGAGGAAAAGAAACCAACAGGGAUUGCCUCAGUAACUGCGAGUGAAGCGGCAAGAGCUCAAAUUUGAAAGCUGGCACCUUUGGUGUCCGCGUUGUAAUUUGGAGAGGCAUCUUCGGGUGGGGCGCCGGUUCAAGUUCCUUGGAACAGGACGUCACAGAGGGUGAGAAUCCCGUGCGUGGCUGGCUGUCCCCGUCCAUGUGAAGUGUCUUCGACGAGUCGAGUUGUUUGGGAAUGCAGCUCAAAAUGGGUGGUAAACUCCAUCUAAAGCUA